rnacentral:rRNA from 1 species
GAUGAACGCUGGCGGCGUGCCUAAUACAUGCAAGUCGAGCGAACGGACGAGAAGCUUGCUUCUCUGAUGUUAGCGGCGGACGGGUGAGUAACACGUGGAUAACCUACCUAUAAGACUGGGAUAACUUCGGGAAACCGUAGCUAAUACCGGAUAAUAUUUUGAACCGCAUGGUUCAAAAGUGAAAGACGGUCUUGCUGUCACUUAUAGAUGGAUCCGCGCUGCAUUAGCUAGUUGGUAAGGUAACGGCUUACCAAGGCAACGAUGCAUAGCCGACCUGAGAGGGUGAUCAGCCACACUGGAACGGAGACACGGUCCAGACUCCUACGGGAGGCAGCAGUAGGGAAUCUUGCGCAAUGGGCGAAAGCCUGACGGAGCAACGCCGCGUGAGUGAUGAAGGUCUUCGGAUCGUAAAACUCUGUUAUUAGGGAAGAACAUAUGUGUAAGUAACUGUGCAGAUCUUGACGGUACCUAAUCAGAAAGCAACGGCUAACUACGUG